UACAGAGGUCUCAAGCGUUUGUUCGGAUUCAUUGGGCGUAAAGGGUGCGUAGGUGGUGCUGUAAGUCAGGUGUGAAAUCCCGGGGCUCAACCCCGGAACUGCACUUGAUACUGCAGUGCUCGAGGACUGGAGAGGAGAUCGGAAUUCAUGGUGUAGCAGUGAAAUGCGUAGAUAUCAUGAGGAAGACCAGUGGCGAAGGCGGAUCUCUGGACAGUUCCUGACACUGAGGCACGAAGGCCAGGGGAGCAAACGGG
rnacentral:rRNA from 1 species